GACGAACGCUGGCGGCGUGCUUAACACAUGCAAGUCGAACGGUAAGGCCCUUCGGGGUACACGAGUGGCGAACGGGUGAGUAACACGUGGGUGAUCUGCCCUGCACUUCGGGAUAAGCCUGGGAAACUGGGUCUAAUACCGGAUAAGACUCCUGCCUGCAUGGGUGGGGGUGGAAAGCUUUUGCGGUGUGGGAUGGGCCCGCGGCCUGUCAGCUUGUUGGUGGGGUGAUGGCCUACCAAGGCGACGACGGGUAGCCGGCCUGAGAGGGUGACCGGCCACACUGGGACUGAGAUACGGCCCAGACUCCUACGGGAGGCAGCAGUGGGGAAUAUUGCACAAUGGGCGCAAGCCUGAUGCAGCGACGCCGCGUGAGGGAUGACGGCCUUCGGGUUGUAAACCUCUUUCAGCACAGACGAAGCGCAAGUGACGGUAUGUGCAGAAGAAGGACCGGCCAACUACGUGCCAGCAGCCGCGGUAA
rnacentral:rRNA from 1 species